GAUGAACGCUGGCGGCGUGCCUAAUACAUGCAAGUCGAGCGAACGGACGAGAAGCUUGCUUCUCUGAUGUUAGCGGCGGACGGGUGAGUAAAAUGUGGAUAACCUACCUAUAAGACUGGGAUAACUUCGGGAAACCGGAGCUAAUACCGGAUGAUAUUUUGAACCGCAUGGUUCAGAAGUGAAAGACGUUCUUGCUGUCACUUAUAGAUGGAUCCGCGCUGCAUUAGCUAGUUGGUAAGGUAACGGCUUACCAAGGCAACGAUGCAUAGCCGACCUGAGAGGGUGAUCAGCCACACUGGAACUGAGACACGGUCCAGACUCCUACGGGAGGCAGCAGUAGGGAAUCUUCCGCAAUGGGCGAAAGCCUGACGGAGCAACGCCGCGUGAGUGAUGAAGGUCUUCGGAUCGUAAAACUCUGUUAUUAGGGAAGAACAUAUGUGUAAGUAACUGUGCACAUCUUGACGGUACCUAAUCAGAAAGCCACGGCUAACUACGUG
rnacentral:rRNA from 1 species